rnacentral:snRNA from 1 species
GGGUGACCUCCCGGGAAGUCCUCG